GACGAACGCUGGCGGCGUGCUUAACACAUGCAAGUCGAACGGUGAAGCGCCUUCCUUUUUGGUGGGUGUGGAUGCGUGGCGAACGGGUGAGUAACACGUGCGUAACCUGCCCCCUUCUUCUGGAUAACCGCAUGAAAGUGUGUCUAAUACGGGAUAUUCUGGUUCUUUCUCAUGAUGGGUCUGGUAAAGCUAUUGUUUCGGUGGGGGAUGGGCUGCCGGCCUAUCAUCUUGUUGUUGGGGUGAUGGCCUACCAAGGCGGUGCCGGGUAGCCGGCAUGAGAGGGUGGACGGCCAGAGAGGGACAGAGACAACGCCGAGACUCAGACGGGGGGCAGCAGUGGGGAAGAGUGAGCAGUGGGGGAAAGCCUGAUGCAGCGACGACGCGGGAGGGAUGGAGGCCUUCGGGUUGUGAACCUCUUUCGCUAGUGAAGCAGGCCUGCCUGGGUUGUGGGUGGGUUGACGGUAGCUGGAAAAGAAGCGCCGGCUAACUACGUG
rnacentral:rRNA from 1 species